UACAGAGGGGGCAAGCGUUGUUCGGAAUUACUGGGCGUAAAGGGCGCGUAGGCGGCCUUCUAAGUCGAACGUGAAAUCCCCGGGCUCAACCCGGGAACUGCGUCCGAUACUGGAAGGCUAGAAUCCGGGAGAGGGAUGCGGAAUUCCAGGUGUAGCGGUGAAAUGCGUAGAUAUCUGGAGGAACACCGGUGGCGAAGGCGGCAUCCUGGACCGGUAUUGACGCUGAGGAGCGAAAGCCAGGGGAGCAAACGGG
rnacentral:rRNA from 1 species